rnacentral:rRNA from 1 species
AUACGGAGGAUGCGAGCGUUAUCCGGAUUUAUUGGGUUUAAAGGGAGCGUAGGUGGAUUGUUAAGUCAGUUGUGAAAGUUUGCGGCUCAACCGUAAAAUUGCAGUUGAAACUGGCAGUCUUGAGUACAGUAGAGGUGGGCGGAAUUCGUGGUGAAGCGGUGAAAUGCUUAGAUAUAACGAAGAACUCCGAUUGCGAAGGCAGCUCACUAGACUGUUACUGACACUGAUGCUCGAAAGUGUGGGUAUCAAACAGGAUUAGAUUCCCUGGUAGUCCACACAGUAAACGAUGAAUACUCGCUGUUUGCGAUAUACAGUAAGCGGCCAAGCGAAAGCAUUAAGUAUUCCACCUGGGGAGUACGCCGGCAACGGUGAAACUCAAAGGAAUUGACGGGG